UGGAGCUGCUCAGGAAGAGAGGACAUGGUCAAAUCUGUGGGAUGCUGAUCAGAUUUAUUCUUUCCUCGAGCUCCCCUUGGGCAUGGAUUAGGAGGCUGAGUGGGUGAAGUGGGAGGAUUGUAGUGGUGGUGAGUAACAAGGCUUUAGCAAGUGCUGAACUGAAAGAGAAGAAUUUUCUCACCUUUCGGUCUUACACUUUCAUUUUUAUGGAUUUUGGGACGCUUUCAUAUGGAAACACAACGAUCUCCUCCACCAAAUGUGGGUGAAAGAUUGAAAUGACAGAAGAGACUGAACAUGGUUAUAAAUGAGAGCCGUGGCGGGAUGUUUCUGGGCCAGCAAGUCUCCACUCCAUGAACUUUCUGCUUCCCUUCAACGGAGAUUGGUGGCAUCAGCAGCCAGACACAAUUCAGAAUGGAAAGCUUUCAGAAAGACUUAGUGCAUCUCCCUUCCCUCAAACAAGAGAAAGUCUUCAAAACCACCGAUUAACCAUCAACCACCAUUUCUGACAGUGGAGACUGAGAACUGCCAUGCUAGCUGGAGCUGAAGAAGGAAUGAAAAAGAUAAAGAAAAGAAAAGGGAAAAAAGAGAAAAAAGAAAGAAAAGAAAAAAAGAAAAAAAAGAAAAAAGGAAAAAAAAGCCCAAACAAGAGAGACAAACUCUCCAGUUAAGGCAGCUGUCCUUUCAAAUUUGCUGUUUCAUCAGUGACAAUUUUAAGAGUUUGAUACUGUUUGUAAAUAUACAUCUUACAAUAAACCCCACAAGCAUUCCUCUGCA
rnacentral:lncRNA from 1 species